CCCAAUAUCAGUUUUCUUAAAGUGAAUUCAUGUUUAAGUUGAUAACUUCGAUGUAUCCCAUGUGUUAUGUUAUUUUCCAUUCACUGUUACGAUCGUACUGUAGUUUGCAUGUUUGAGAGAAAGUUUAUUAAUACUUUUCUUAUGACCUUGGGUUUCUACAUGCUAAGGCUAACAUGGCUAGCCGUAAACUCCGCUAGCCACGUUCAUACAUUGAAAGUAAUAUUGCUCUCUUUCUUGCUUGUGCAGAUGUACACCGAUUUCUGAUGGCAAUGAUUUGAUUUAUUUUCCAAAGGAAAAUAAAUGAAAAAAAAUUCAACAGUUUCGCCUCCGUCUCCCUGAUGCUCGACCAUCGUUACACAACUUCAGUUUAAUCAUGUUCAGUUAAAUUAUAUUGAAAAUAGCAAUUCUGCCUCUCCCAUCGAUAUAAAAUUACUGGGUAGCUAGUAGCCUACCCGUGAUACACAACUAAGCUGCACGAUUAAGUCGUUUUUCGAAGAGAAAAGCUGCAAUUUAAACAUGUUCAAGCAUCCAGAAUUAUAACCACGUUAAUAACGUUUGUAAGAAACCAAACCGUUUGUAAAUCCGUCAAGAUUUCAGCGGGAUAAGAGUAUUAGCGUUUGUGCAGAUCACUGAUUUACGGCCGCUACAACAGAUUCCACCAGAAAGCUUUACUGUGGUAAGAUGGCGGCCUAUGGUGAUGUUCUCUAGGCCGUUUCUCUCUUCCAAUGGAAUUGCAGUAUAUCCUCCAAAAUGUGCGUUUUUGAGUUUUUAUUGUUCUCCUUACUAUAGCCAGAGCCGGAUUAACCCAAAGGCAAAGUAGGCACGUGCCUAGGGCCUGAUUGGCGGGGGGGGGGGCCCAGACAGAAGUACAAAAAAAAUAAAUAAUAAUAAUGAAAUAGCCAAUACAAAUGUCCUACCUACUAUUUAUUUCAGUGAUAAUAUAUCCAUAUAUAUUAAUUAACUAAAAAUAGUGACGUUGUUUAUCUUACCGUUACGUCACAUUAACGCCAAUCAGUUAAGUCCGAGGGGAGGUCAGCGGGUCAAGACUAAGCGGAACAAUAAAGCUAGCAGGCAGGUCGUUUCU
rnacentral:lncRNA from 1 species